rnacentral:rRNA from 1 species
AUUGAACACUGGCGGCAUGCUUUACACAUGCAAGUCGAACGGUAACAGGCCGCAAGGUGCUGACGAGUGGCGAACGGGUGAGUAAUGCAUCGGAACGUGCCCAGUCGUGGGGGAUAACGCAGCGAAAGCUGCGCUAAUACCGCAUACGAUCUCUGGAUGAAAGCGGGGGACCGAAAGGCCUCGCGCGAUUGGAGCGGCCGAUGUCAGAUUAGGUAGUUGGUGGGGUAAAGGCCCACCAAGCCAACGAUCUGUAGCUGGUCUGAGAGGACGACCAGCCACACUGGGACUGAGACACGGCCCAGACUCCUACGGGAGGCAGCAGUGGGGAAUUUUGGACAAUGGGCGCAAGCCUGAUCCAGCAAUGCCGCGUGCAGGAAGAAGGCCUUCGGGUUGUAAACUGCUUUUGUACGGAACGAAACGGUCCUGGUUAAUACCUGGGGCUAAUGACGGUACCGUAAGAAUAAGCACCGGCUAACUACGUGCCAGCCGCCGCAGUAAGAC